UUUAAAUAAUAAAAACCAAUACGAUGUGCAAAGAAGUCAUUAACGGCUACUAUUAAUAUUCUCCUCACUAAAAAAGAGGCAGGUGGGGGGAGCACUAACAACAAUUUCAUACAUUUAUGUGUUUUCCAGGCUGCUGGAUAAGGCAGGGUGCUUUUCCCCCAGUUCGUAUGGCUUGCGUUAAAUUUAAAAACAGUUCCCAGAGGAGGCUGAUAAAUGGAUUAAAGUGGAACAUAAAUUCUCUAGUCACCCAGUCCCUUAAACCUUGAUGUCAGUAACAUGCCUAAUCAUUCCAUUAUUAUAAACGUCAAAUAUGUUCUACAUGUGUUAGAAAGGGUAUUAGAAGAAAUGGAAGCCUCAAGAAACUGUAAUGCUAUUAUAAGCCUCCAUGCAAAAAAUAUCAAAAAUAUUACCAUGUUCACCCAUUAAUUAAAGUAUUUCAGAUUCUUGUCUUAUAAUUUGUAAACUAUAAGGUACACCAGUGUGUCCAUUGUGCUAUGCAUACUUUACUUUCCCUUAAUGGCACUGCUUCUAUGAGCUAGCAUAACUGAAGAGCAUAAAUUUUUUCAGUGGUUAAUUUGAGAAACAGUACACAUGAAUCUUGCUUAAAAAAUAUGAGUUAUUCUACUCAGCAAAAAGAAAAGCCUCAGCUGAAGCAGUGUUGCCCAAUCUUUUAAGAUAUUGCAAAGUACAGACAGAAGAACAAAAAAUUUACAACCCUUUCAGAAAAAUGACUUACAAGAAAGACUGAAAGAACUGGGCUUGCUUACAGUACCAAACAAAAACAGAAGUGGAUCAGCACUGUAAUGAUCCUGAAACAAGUAAAAAUGACAGUGAUUUACUAUUCUCCCCUUUCUUCAAAGUACACAGAGGAAAGUAAGUUGUUUUAUUUGCAAUCAGCAGGCUUGGAAUUAAAUACUAGAAACAAGCUUUCCAAAUACAAUCAAAGUAAAAUACAGGAACAUGUUACCAAUGGAGACUAUGAAAACCUCAAUAUGGAAAUGUACAGUGACACAUUAGAAAUACCUGGGUAUGAGACAGUAAAGUACUGGAUACUGUAUACUUGAUACCAGAUCAGUCAAAUAUCUGGUUGACUAUGUAAUCUCUUGAGGUUACCUGCAUUACACAUUUUUAUGAUUCUGUGGUAUCAUUCAAAGAAUAUUACAACUAUUUAAUGGUGAAAAUAAUUGAUAUACUCAGUAUGUAAUAAGAGGUGAGAAUCUUUGGGCAAUAAAGUACUACGCAUUUUAGAAGAAAAAGUGAGAGACAUAUCAGCUAUUCA